rnacentral:rRNA from 1 species
AUUGAACGCUGGCGGCGGGCCUAACACAUGCAAGUCGAGCGAGCGGAGGACGGGUGCGUAAUGUAUGGGGACUGCCCGAUAGAUGGGGAUAACUACUGGAAAAGGUAGCUAAUACCGCAUACUAUCGGCUACCCAAUAUGGGAGUAGCUAGUAGGGGGGGUAAUGGCUCACCUAGGCGACGAUCCAUAGCUGGCCUGAGAGGAUGAUCAGCCACACUGGGACUGAGACACGGCCCAGACUCCUACGGAGGCAGCAGUGGGGAAUAUUGCACAAUGGGCGCAAGCCUGAUGCAGCCAUGCCGCGUGUAUGAAGAAGGCCCUAGGGUUGUAAAGUACUUUCGGUCGGGAGGCGUUACCGACAGAAGAAGCACCGGCUAACUCCGUGCCAGCCGCCGCGGUAAUAC